rnacentral:rRNA from 1 species
CGAACGCUGGCGGCAUGCCUAACACAUGCAAGUCGAACGAGAAAGGUCCUUCGGGACUGAGUAGAGUGGCGCACGGGUGAGUAACGCGUGGGAACCUGCCGAACAGUACGGAAUAACGUUUGGAAACGAACGCUAAUACCGUAUACGCCCUUUUGGGGAAAGAUUUAUCGCUGUUUGAUGGUCCCGCGUCUGAUUAGCUAGUUGGUGAGGUAACGGCCCACCAAGGCGACGAUCAGUAGCUGGUCUGAGAGGAUGAUCAGCCACACUGGGACUGAGACACGGCCCAG